GAUGAACGCUGGCGGCGUGCCUAAUACAUGCAAGUCGAGCGAACGGACGAGAAGCUUGCUUCUCUGAUGUUAGCGGCGGACGGGUGAGUAACACGUGGAUAGCCUACCUAUAAGACUGGGAUAACUUCGGGAAACCGGAGCUAAUACCGGAUAAUAUUUUGAACCGCAUGGUUCAAAAGUGAAAGACGGUCUUGCUGUCACUUAUAGAUGGAUCCGCGCUGCAUUAGCUAGUUGGUAAGGUAACGGCUUACCAAGGCAACGAUGCAUAGCCGACCUGAGAGGGUGAUCGGCCACACUGGAACUGAGACACGGUCCAGACUCCUACGGGAGGCAGCAGUAGGGAAUCUUCCGCAAUGGGCGAAAGCCUGACGGAGCAACGCCGCGUGAGUGAUGAAGGUCUUCGGAUCGUAAAACUCUGUUAUUAGGGAAGAACAUAUGUGUAAGUAACUGUGCACAUCUUGACGGUACCUAAUCAGAAAGCCACGGCUAACUACGCG
rnacentral:rRNA from 1 species